rnacentral:rRNA from 1 species
AUUGAACGCUGGCGGCGUGCUUAACACAUGCAAGUCGAUCGGUAACAGGUGUAGCAAUACAUGCUGACGAGAGGCGGACGGGUGAGUAAUGCUUGGGAAUCUGCCUAUUAGUGGGGGACAACCCGGGGAAACUCGGGCUAAUACCGCAUACGCUCUACGGAGGAAAGCCGGGGACCGCAAGGCCUGGCGCUAAUAGAUGAGCCCAAGUCGGAUUAGCUAGUUGGUAGGGUAACGGCCUAUCAAGGCGACAAUCCGUAGCUGGUCUGAGAGGACGACCAGCCACACCGGAACUGAGACACGGUCCGGACUCCUACGGGAGGCAGCAGUGGGGAAUAUUGGACAAUGGGGCAACCCUGAUCCAGCGACGCCGCGUGGGUGAAGAAGGCCUGCGGGUUGUAAAGCCCUUUCGGUGGGGAAGAAAAGUCUCGACCUAAUACGUCGGGACCUUGACGUAACCACUAAAGAAGCACCGGCUAACUCUGUGCCAGCAGCCGCCGU